rnacentral:lncRNA from 1 species
UAGCAACCUCCCUGACAAAUGACAGUAGCCUGAAAAAGUGAGGAAGUACAAUGUCAGAUGGUAUAGCCUGGAAAACGACAGUGCACAGAGAGAAAUAAGAUGUACGAGGUUCAUAGAAAAAAUGCGAUUAAAUAACCACACAUGGAGGUUGUAUGAAGAAGAAAUUCACAAAAGAUUCCAACUAUACAUAUAUAGGAGGUAGCAGACACUUUCUCACUACAUACUAUUGUGGACUUCUCAAAUGGAAAAUGACAGGCAUAUCUAUUAGACAGAAUUGAGGCACCAACAUGCAAAUUGUACAGUUGUUCUGGGCAACAAUUUCUUCCUAUGACAAUAACCCUGGAUGUGGGCUCUUGCUGUAAACGACAUCACAAGACCAUCAAGCACUUUCAAGUCCAGCUGAAGUAGAGUGAAAGAAAAUCAUUUCUGAGAGUUAUGAAAGGUCAUGAGUGAGGAAAUGCAUUCCAGGUACUCCCGAAGACAUUUGGACACACACGGUGAAUGACACAUGAAGAUGGAGGCAGAGAUCGGAAUGAUGUAUCUACAAGCGAUGGUCCACCAAAGAUGAUCAGCAAACCACCGGAAGCUGGGACAGAGGUCUGGAACAGAGCCUCCCUCACAUCCCUCAGAAGGAACCAACCCUGCCAGCACCUUAAUCUCACACUUCUAGCCUACAGAAUUCUGAGACAACACAUUUCUGUUGUGUACACAGAGACACAUAUUAAAUAAACCUUCUACAAGAGUAACCCGUCCAGAAAUGCAGCAAGAGGCUUCCAAAGGGCUAGAUUUAUUACAAAUUAAUCAAAUAGCAGAUCAUCUCUCCAAAUCAUCACUUCUAUCAAGCCUAUCGCUUGAGCAGUGUUAUAGCACUCAGCCCUCAGGGCAAAGAUAAGUCUUCACCAUUGUCACACGUAGCACACACAUAUUCAGCCAUAUCAUGCUGAAUGGGAAUACAGGACUUUGUAGAAACAGAACUGAUUCCUGCAGAAUAUCCUGAGAUACUUAUCAAGCUGUUAAAGGAGACAUCAGUCUUUUGUCUGUAUUGCCCUUGACACCUCCUCAAGGAAAGUAUCUAGAAAUUCUUUGUCUUCUGAAGAACCCUCAGACCUCUUAGGUCUAAUGUAGGUUAAGUGCCCUGCAGAUCUCCCUAGAAUAGAAAAGCACCUUGAAAACUGUAGUCUGACUUAAUAGACACAAAUAUAAUGAAAGCACUAAUUCAUAAGAUCCUGUUAUUUGAAGGAAAAAGCAGCAAAAGGCACAAGCUUCAGAUAUUGGUCUUGCACAGGAAAAAGCUGGAAUUCUACCCUAAAAUUUAUCAGAUACAACAAUGACCUCUAAAAAUCCAACAAGGGUAAAAUGUAUAAAGGUAAAUUACCACAUUAUCAUCCGAUUAUCAUUGCUUGUUUUGUCAAGGGUAAAUGACUAUCUAGCAGCAUUCAGCGUUUGCUUAUUGAUUAAUGCGUACAGUACCAGCACCUCUCUGCACAGCGGUCCUCGCCUUGCCUCCCACUCAACAGCUGUGUUGAAACUGACCAUUUUAUUACAGGUUGCAGGCUGUGUAUAAUUCUCCUUGCCCAUUUUAGAGGCAUUAAAUGAAAACGGAUAAAUUAUUAGAGAU